ensembl:lncRNA ZNF433-AS1 ZNF433 and ZNF878 antisense RNA 1
CCGGAUCCAGCGAUAGAUUCUUUAAGCCAGAGGUGGAAGUGGCACUCCUUACUAAUUUACCUGAAAGCACUAUUUCCUGAGCCAUGGAGACUGAGUAUAGCAAUGAUAUGUGAUCUAAAGAAGUUCCCACUCUGCUUCUUCUCUGCAGUGAAGUCCUGCCAGUUUUGAGUCAGGGUCUCACCCUGUGGCCCAGGCUGCCCUCCAGUGAUGCCAUCAUGACUCAGUGCAACCUCAAACUCCCAGGUUCAAGCGAUCUUCCAUCCUGACCUCCAAAAGGGCUGGAUUAUACACAUAAGCCAUGUCACACUUUAUAUGUUUCUAGGGAAGCUUUUCUAAGAAUAAAUACAUUGGAACUA